GCUACAAGUGCCUCGUCUGCUUUCUCCUCCUGCAGUGUUGGGCUUACGCAGUGGGAGUACUGGAUUGCACUGAGGCUGUUGGUAAAGACUCCUCCCUCGGAAUCUCCUUCAUCACCAUGGCAACAGCCUUAUCUGCCGCCCUAGCGCCUUUCCCCUACAACAGCGAAAUCAACAAUGGCGCGAGUCAGCAGCGAGCCGGGCAACCAUCGCGUCCCAACGCACCCCAGAACCCACCAGGCGGCUGGAACUAGAGCGUGGUUGAAAGUAGAACACAUAAACACCCUUCGGAAAUGGUAACAGUGAUAAAUCAUCCGUGAACCUGGCAGUUAACAGCGUGGGAGGGGCCUAGCCAUGGUCUUGUGGCUGUGUCAGAGUUGCCCCAGUGAAGUCGCUAGGAACAGCAGUGCCAUGCUGGGGCUAGACCUGCUGGAAAUACUCCAGUGCCAGCCCAAGGGUUUGAAACUCCUACAGGGUAUGGUCUCCAUAUGAGAUCCAUACCAGUAUCAGUUACCUGAGGUAAUUUUAGUUACCCAAGCGUUUAUAUCUGAAAUACCUGGGUUUGUUUGGUUUUUAUUUAUUUAGUUUUUUUAUUUUUCUGUGAAAACCAGCAUUGAGCUGAAUUUGCAAAUAAAGCACAGUUCCUUGUAGUUCACUGAGGCAAACUCUCCAUGAACCUCAAAUGUAUAAAUCUGGGCCUGCAGAGGUUAUAGCUCUAGUAACAUCUUAAAAAGUAAUUUACAUCAUAUAAACAGUCUGGGGUUUAUUUUUGCUAUCAACAUAUGGAGCCAAAUUCUGCCAUCAUAGCCAUUGUCACAGUUCUCCCCAAAAUGGUCAAUGGUGUUGAACUUAAUGUAAGGAUUUUUUUUAAUUAUUUUUUUUAAACUUCACUUCAAAUUCACUUAAUACAUUGUAAAUAUUCAAGACAAAAUAUUUCAACAUUAUUUAAUAUUUUAGCCAAAGAAAAAUGCAGUAACAUUGUGCCAUGCUCCCUUUGAAGCUAUAAUUUUUAUAUAAAAAGGGUAUUUAUCUUAUUGAUUUCACUGAAAUUUCUGUAUUUUGAGCUCUUGCAAGUGACAGAGAUAGUCUGAGCAUGCACAAAAAGCAUAGCAGCAGAACUGUAUUAUGUUACUGACCCUGGGCAUGUCCUUAACUAUUAUACUAUAUAAGCUCACAUUAAUUUCCACGGAAGUUUUAGCUGUGCGAAGACUGCAGGAUCUGGCUCCAUAAAAGCAACAUUUUCCACUAAACUUUAUAUAUUUAAAUACUUUAUAAGUCCAUUAACAGAAGGGGUUCUUUGCUACCACAUCAUAUACUAGAACUACUUUCACUGUCAUGGUAUUCUGUGUCCAGUGGAAGUAUCCCCUAUUGCUUGCACUGAACUACAGGUUGUUUCAGAAACAUUUAAUCAGUUGCAGGUAAAACCAUUACAUACUAUUGUGGGUUUUGAGGAAAUUUUAUUAAUAAUCAAGUUAAUCUUAAGUUAGCUUGCUUGUGCAACACAUCACAGUUAC